CUACGGGAGGCACCAGUGAGGAAUAUUGCACAAUGGGGGGAACCCUGAUGCAGCAACGCCGCGUGGGGGAUGACGCAUUUCGGUGUGUAAACUCCUUUUAUAUGUCAAGAAAAUGACGGUAGCAUAUGAAUAAGCACCGGCUAACUCCGUGCCAGCAGCCGCGGUAAUACGGAGGGUGCAAGCGUUACUCGGAAUCACUGGGCGUAAAGGACGCGUAGGCGGGUUGGAAAGUCAGGUGUGAAAUCCUACAGCUUAACUGUAGAACUGCACUUGAAACUUCUAAUCUAGAGUAUGGGAGGGGGAGAUGGAAUUAGUGGUGUAGGGGUAAAAUCCAUAGAUAUCACUAGGAAUACCUAAAGCGAAGGCGAUCUCCUGGAACAUUACUGACGCUAAGGCGUGAAAGCGUGGGGAGCAAACAGGAUUAGAUACCCCGGUAGUC
rnacentral:rRNA from 1 species